ensembl:lncRNA
CGGCGCUCAUAAAGUCUGCCCAAGGCUGCCAGACAUCACGGGUGAUUCAUGAAUCACGAUAACAUCAUCAAAGAAAGUUGAGCGGUUCCUGCGGGCGUAGCUACUGUAGCGGUAGAGCCAGGUCCUCCCUGAGGAUCUGAGUAACAGGUGGCAGACGGCCACGCUGCACACCUCCUCGGGCAUCUGUUGCUGAGGGGAUUUCCUAAUCCCUCUUUAGCUUUGAGCCGGGGGCUGUAUUUUUCUUUGGGAAAUGCAUCUCCUUGACUCUGCAAUCUCCACUUUCUAUGAUUCACCGUGCAGAUAUCCACGCAAUGUCUAAUACAGGAAAAAGAUAAAGAGAGAAGCAAUCUGAUCCAUACUCAUACGCAGACAUACAAGGACACCAUAAGGCCACACGACCUCAAGCCCGCAACUUCCACA